GAUGAACGCUGGCGGCGUGCUUAACACAUGCAAGUCGAACGGAAAGGCUCCUGCUUGCAGGGGUACUCGAGUGGCGAACGGGUGAGUAACACGUGGGUGAUCUGCCCUGCACUUCGGGAUAAGCCUGGGAAACUGGGUCUAAUACCGGAUAGGACGAUGGGUUGGAUGCCAUUGUGGAAAGUUUUUCGGUGUGGGAUGAGCUCGCGGCCUAUCAGCUUGUUGGUGGGGUAAUGGCCUACCAAGGCGUCGACGGGUAGCCGGCCUGAGAGGGUGUACGGCCACAUUGGGACUGAGAUACGGCCCAGACUCCUACGGGAGGCAGCAGUGGGGAAUAUUGCACAAUGGGCGCAAGCCUGAUGCAGCGACGCCGCGUGGGGGAUGACGGCCUUCGGGUUGUAAACUCCUUUCGCUAGGAACGAAGCGCAAGUGACGGUACCUGGAGAAGAAGCACCGGCUAACUACGUG
rnacentral:rRNA from 1 species